AGUGCAAUUGCUGAGUCACAUGGAAAUUGCAUGUUAAGUUUUAUAAGAAACUGCCAAACUGUUUUCCAAAGUAGCUGUAGCCUUUGACUUUUCCACCAGCAGU
rnacentral:pre_miRNA from 1 species